rnacentral:rRNA from 1 species
GAUGAACGCUAGCGGCAGGCUUAACACAUGCAAGUCGAGGGGUAACAGGGAAAAAGCUUGCUUUUUUGCUGACGACCGGCGCACGGGUGCGUAACGCGUAUAGAACCUACCUUUUACAGAGGGAUAGCCUUUAGAAAUGAAGAUUAAUACCUCAUAGCACUAAAUUUUGGCAUCAUUAUUUAGUUAAAGAUUUAUCGAUAAAAGAUGGCUAUGCGUCCUAUUAGUUAGAUGGUGAGGUAACGGCUCACCAUGGCAAUGAUAGGUAGGGGUCCUGAGAGGGAGAUCCCCCACACUGGUACUGAGACACGGACCAGACUCCUACGGGAGGCAGCAGUGAGGAAUAUUGGGCAAUGGAGGCAACUCUGACCCAGCCAUGCCGCGUGCAGGAAGACUGCCCUAUGGGUUGUAAACUGCUUUUAUACAGGAAGAAACACUGCUACGUGUAGCAGCUUGACGGUACUGUAAGAAUAAGCACCGGCUAACUCCGUGCCAGCAGCCGCGGUAAUACGGAGGGUGCAAGCGUUAUCCGGAAUCAUUGGGUUUAAAGGGUCCGCAGGCGGUCAAUUAAGUCAGAGGUGAAAUCCCAU